CGCGCACCUCCAUUCAACAUCCGUUUUGAAAAUUUUGAAAAUUAUCCUCGACAAAUUAUCGCACCAUACUGAUAAACAAAUAGUGAACAACUGUGUCUAAAGAAUAUACAGACAAGAGAAGACCUUUCUGUGUAAACCUCUUGAUGUUAGCGCCUUCAGACGCUGUUCUAGACUGCCACAAAGAGACAACAGAAUCCAAAAUAUCUUAGCAGUGUUCAAGACAUUUGAAGUGUGAAGAGGGCAGAAUGAGUUGCUUGGCCAAAAGAAUAGAUCUUUAAAACAAAAUAAAUUUUUCAUUUUAAAAACCU